rnacentral:lncRNA from 1 species
GUAAUGCUGCUACAGUCCUGGCUGAAACUGGAUUGCUGACCUCCCUUCAAACAUAUGACUGUCAGAGUGUGCUACCUUUGACUACUUCUUGGUAGAGGUGGUCACAUCCUGUGUUCAGGAUGAUGCCACAUUUAAACCCAAGAUAAUUUUUCAACCAAUGAAACAGAUCUCCUCUAUAAUCUAUAAAAUACAGUUGUUUCUCUGUAUCCAUGGGGUACUGAUUCAAGAAAUGCCCAUGGAUGCCCAAACUGCAACAACUCUGGUCUCUUGUUAGAAAGGUUUACUGUUUGCAUAUAACUAGACCUGUCCUCCUGCAUGACUCAUCUAUACAGCACCAGGAAAGACUCACAGAAGGCUUAGUGCUCUGCAAAUGGCUGCUACACUGUACUGUUGGAAGCUAACAAGGAGAACAGGUCUACAUGUGUUCAACGAAGAUAAUGUCCCGACACUGUGGCUUCGUUGGAGGUUUACAUUAAAACAGGACUUUGGUGAGCAUGUGAUGUCAAGACACCUUCUUUCUACCUGAGAGACAAUGACAUGUGACACUGAGGAGGAAAGUGUGUAGCUCAAGACCAGCAGACAAAUGAAAGCUUGUUAUCUCAUGUAGUGUGCAGAUGGACAGAGCAAGGCAAGUGUGUGCAUGUACAGGCACGUGUGUAAGGGCUGGCAGGCGUGACGAUUAACAUCACCACCGAGGAGUAGAGAUCUGUUCUACUUAGCCAGGGUCUAAUGUUUGGCCUCUAAGAACCACUGGGUUUGGCCCUGGAUGAUCCUAAUGCCCUCCUUCCCCACGCCAGCUGAGAGCCUCAGCCACAGGAGACAGUGAGCUCAUGCAGACACAGCACAGGCUUGAAUACAGAAUUCAUAAUCUCUGCUCUGAAGGGACAAGUGUCACUUAAGAUCCCUCUUGUUAUCAUUUCAACUUGGGGUUAAUGAGAGAAGCUGUUAGGAUCAACUUCAUCAGCUUUGACUACAUGAUUUAUGAGAGAUGAACUUUAAUGAUUAAAUCUUUCAAAUACUUUGGUAUUCC